GACGAACGCUGGCGGCGCGCCUAACACAUGCAAGUCGAACGAGCGAGAGAGAGCUUGCUUUCUCGAGCGAGUGGCGAACGGGUGAGUAACGCGUGAGGAACCUGCCUCAAAGAGGGGGACAACAGUUGGAAACGACUGCUAAUACCGCAUAAGCCCACGGCUCGGCAUCGAGCAGAGGGAAAAGGAGCAAUCCGCUUUGAGAUGGCCUCGCGUCCGAUUAGCUAGUUGGUGAGGUAACGGCCCACCAAGGCGACGAUCGGUAGCCGGACUGAGAGGUUGAACGGCCACAUUGGGACUGAGACACGGCCCAGACUCCUACGGGAGGCAGCAGUGGGGAAUAUUGCACAAUGGGGGAAACCCUGAUGCAGCGACGCCGCGUGGAGGAAGAAGGUCUUCGGAUUGUAAACUCCUGUUGUUGGGGAAGAUAAUGACGGUACCCAACAAGGAAGUGACGGCUAACUACGUGCCAGCAGCCGCGGUAAAACGUAGGUCACAAGCGUUGUCCGGAAUUACUGGGUGUAAAGGGAGCGCAGGCGGGAAGACAAGUUGGAAGUGAAAUCUAUGGGCUCAACCCAUAAACUGCUUUCAAAACUGUUUUUCUUGAGUAGUGCAGAGGUAGGCGGAAUUCCCGGUGUAGCGGUGGAAUGCGUAGAUAUCGGGAGGAACACCAGUGGCGAAGGCGGCCUACUGGGCACCAACUGACGCUGAGGCUCGAAAGUGUGGGUAGCAAACAGGAUUAGAUACCCUGGUAGUCCACACCGUAAACGAUGAUUACUAGGUGUUGGAGGAUUGACCCCUUCAGUGCCGCAGUUAACACAAUAAGUAAUCCACCUGGGGAGUACGACCGCAAGGUUGAAACUCAAAGGAAUUGACGGGGGCCCGCACAAGCAGUGGAGUAUGUGGUUUAAUUCGACGCAACGCGAAGAACCUUACCAAGUCUUGACAUCCCUUGACGAUGCUGGAAACAGUAUUUCUCUUCGGAGCAAGGAGACAGGUGGUGCAUGGUUGUCGUCAGCUCGUGUCGUGAGAUGUUGGGUUAAGUCCCGCAACGAGCGCAACCCUUAUGGUCAGUUACUACGCAAGAGGACUCUGGCCAGACUGCCGUUGACAAAACGGAGGAAGGUGGGGAUGACGUCAAAUCAUCAUGCCCUUUAUGACUUGGGCUACACACGUACUACAAUGGCGUUAAACAAAGAGAAGCAAGACCGCGAGGUGGAGCAAAACUCAGAAACAACGUCCCAGUUCGGACUGCAGGCUGCAACUCGCCUGCACGAAGUCGGAAUUGCUAGUAAUCGUGGAUCAGCAUGCCACGGUGAAUACGUUCCCGGGCCU
rnacentral:rRNA from 1 species